UGUGUGGCAUUUCUGUACACUGUCUAC
rnacentral:piRNA from 1 species